ACACACACACACACACACACACACACACACACACACACACACACACACACACACACACACACACACACACACACUAUCGCCUUCUCAAUCGCGUUAGCUUGCCUUAGCUUCUCGUUGGAGACGUGUACACAGUGCCGCAAGAAAAGCCAAAGUGCAAACGCCCUCUCUCUCUCUUUGCAUCUACCUCGAAUUUUCGCUCACGACCAAGUUCCAACGCUGCUCUUUCGCUCAGAACCAAUGACGCCGACGCCGCCGACACCGGAAUUUCUGCGCAACGAGCUCCUUGACGCUCUCGCGUCAAAAAAAAAAAGAUAUAUAAACGCGACUUCCUUCAAGCGGCCGCUAAACGGGAGGGCUGUUACAUGAGGCGCCGAGAGAGAAAUACGAUAGCGCAACUUUACGACGCAUGUGCGAGCGAGGAAAGACAAAUUAAAAAAAACACACACACCGACGCGCACACCAGGAGAGGAGAAGCGCGCGUGCUACAGUCGAAGUCUCGCCGUCGCCCGUCGCUGCCUUCGCCAUUUUCUUCCGUUGCCCGGUCAUCGAAGUUUCCGAAUCGCUCAGCUGUGUCGGCUGUGCGUGCCCGUGUCCUGUGUGUGCGCGACUGUGAUCUCAACGCUGGACGUGAACGGCAUUUAGCGACGGCACUGCAACAUCCCGUACUGUGAGCGUGUUCGCGUUGGUUUCAUGAUGGUCUGGAGACUCAAGCGAGCUUGCACCUUCGUGUAUGCGUGUUCGGCCAGCACCUGGUUAGGCACACUCGGAAAUGCGAACGAUGGUGCUCAAGAUGGCACAUGCAACGCUAUGCAGCUGUGGACACCAGCAGCUUGAUAAGAACUCUCGAAGCUCAUCUGGAUGCUUCACAGAACCUGGGAAGACUGAACACUUUUGGCAAAGCAGCAACAGUUCUGGCCCAUCUGUUUGUCUACAAGACGGUCUCUUCCGUGAACACUCCUGUGCCUUACAGUAUACUAUACUGAUGACCUUGUACAUCUCUCUGUAUUUAGGAUUGUCAGCACAUGGACUGCUGCACUGUGUUAUGCACGGUGCCGAGUCCAAACUUUCCAAUAACAGUGUGCAUUUGAAAAUUUUACAUGGUUUGAAAAGAUGCUGAAUGUUAACGCAUUUAAUUUACUGAGCAUGGUUUUUGACUGUUUUACAGCCAUCAUUUAUUCCCUGUUCAAUUUUUAUUCAACCUCAUGGCAUGUCCAGUCCUUGGCUCUAAUGUGCCAAGCCACCACCAGUAUUGAUGGGCAAUUUUUAAUUCAAAGCAUGUUAUUGCCCAACUCCGAGGUAACUUUCCUGUCACGGUAUUCGGAUUAAUUUUCAAUGUGGUACUUCUGCACGAGCCAUAAAUUGAGCUGUUGAAGGUGAUGAAGAACCAAUUUUCCGGUCGAAUUGGAUGGCACUAGCUGGCAUGUAAAUAUUGUAAGCAUUGGUCUACUACCUAUGCAUAAUAAUACGGGUGAAUAGGGUUGCGAAAUAAUGCCAUGUUCCCAUGCUUAACCUUAUAAAUUUACAUUAUUUCUUAAAAAUAUGUGAAUAAAGGCGACUGUGUUUACAAACCUUGGCAGGUGGAUCUAUGGUCAACACCACAGGUCUUUAUACAAACAAUUGAACUGCACAAUCAUGUGUAACAUGUUUUCAUGCCUGAGGGCAAACUAAUGCAAUAUACAAGAAAAAUGGUACACCACCAUGCCUAAGUGUUGCAAGCCUUUAUUACUUAUCGAGUUGCCUUCAUGUGUAAGCAGACACCAAGUUCUCUGUGCAUCAGGGGCAUAGGCAGAAAUUUUUUUCGGGGGGGGGGGGGGGAGGGGGGUCGUCUCCUUGAUUUGAAGUGGGAGCCGGGCAGGCAGAUGUGUUCAGUUGUCAUUUCGGGCUCUGUAUGCCAUAGCAAAAAAAAAUUUCGAGGGGGGGGGGGGGCGAGGGAGGCCCGGUGUGCCCCCCUGGCUACGCCACUGCUGUGCAUGCCAUUUCAUUGGAUUGUACUUGCAUACUGGCAUAUCGAAGUGUAUGUGUCUUGCUUUGUGAUGAAUUUUCGAACUAUACUUUCAUAAUAUUUUACUGCUGUGAAUUAGUGCUCAGGUUGCAUUGUGUAUGUUGUUUCAUCUGUUCACUAAUGAGCAUAGGAUCUGUGGUAGAUGAAAAUGUAUAAUUUACAUUGACAUUGUGAAUGUUAUUGUUUUGAUUCUAAUAAAGUGCUACAACCAGCA